rnacentral:lncRNA from 10 species
CCCAAAUUCAAGAAGCCCCGUAAACAGGGGGACCUCAUGCCACCCUACCGACUGGUAAACUGAAGCUUUGCACACACACAUGACACACCACAGAUUCCACACAACUCAUACCACACGCCACACCCCACACACCACGUGCAUCACACACCACAGACACAUCACACACCACAGAUACCACACAACUCCUACCACACGCCACACAUCACACACCACAUACACAAUACACCGCAUAUCACACACCACAGACACCACACAACUCAUACCACACGCCACACAUCACACACCACAUACACAAUACACCACACACACAUCACACACCACAGACACCACACAACUCAUACCACACGCCACACAUCACACACCACAUACACAAUACACCACACACACAUGACACACCACAGAUUCCACACAACUCAUACCACACGCCACACCCCACACACCAAGUGCAUCACACACCACAGAUACCACACAACACACACAUCACACACCACAGAUACCACACAACUCAUACCACAUGCCACACAUCACACACCACGUGCAUCUCACACCACAGAUACCACACAACACACACAUCACACACCACAGAUACCACACAACUCAUACCACACGCCACACAUCACACACCACACUGACAUCAUACAUCACACACCCAUACAACCACACACAUCACACAUCACCCACCACAGAUAACGCAUUCACUAUUCACUAUACAUGCCACACAGCACACACAGCAUACUGCCCAUAACACAUAUCACAUACCACAGGCUCACAUCACACAUACCACACACUAAGAUAAAACAUGCCAGGCACAUCACACACCACAUGCACCACACACUGACACCCCAUACAUCACACACACUCACACAUGUCACACAUCAUAUACCACAUGGCACACAUCACACACCACACAUACCACACCACUCACACCAUACACAAUAAACCACACAUCACGCACCACAACUACAUAUAACACACAUCGCAUAGCACAGGCUCAUACCACACACACCACACAUGACCCACAAACUAACAUCACACACCACACAUAUCAAAUCUCUUGUACCACACACCCAUACACACCCCACAUACCACAUAUCACACAUACAUUGAACACACACCAUAGAUACACACGCAUUAUACAUCACCCAUACAUAACACAUAUACCACACACAUCACAGAUACACACCACAUAUACCACACAUGCACACAGACACCACACACAUAUACACUCACACAGCACACUCUGCUCAUGGAUGGGGUACACACAUCACACACACAUAUCACACAUACACAAAUAUACACAUAAAUGCUUACACCCCACACACAUACACAUGCAGAGGUGUGCACAUGCACACACAUAAGUGUGCGUACACACGUGCACACACGCACGCACUCUCACACACACACACACACACACUGCCCACCUCCUCAACCCUGAAUACCUGAGUCCAUGUGAGGCCCUCUCCACAGAAAGAGCUCCCACUCCUGGCCUGCUCACAGCUCCGCAGGAAGCAAAACUGUCCUGGUUCAAACAUGAGAAUGUGGUGAAGUCUGC